rnacentral:misc_RNA from 1 species
GAUGAAGAACGCAGCGAAAUGCGAUAAGUAAUGUGAAUUGCAGAAUUCAGUGAAUCAUCGAAUCUUUGAACGCACAUUGCGCCCAUUAGUAUUCUAGUGGGCAUGCCUGUUCGAGCGUCAUUUCAACCCUUAAGCCCCCGUUGCUUAGCGUUGGGAACCUACAGCGAUGUAGUUCCUUAAAGUUAGUGGCGGAGUCGGUUCACACUCUAGGCGUAGUAAAUUUUAUCUCGCCUCUGUAGUUGGACCGUCCCCCGCCGUAAAACACCCCAAUUUCUAAAGGUUGACCUCGGAUCAGGUAGGAAUACCCGCUGAACUUAAGCAUAUCAAUAAGCGGAGGA